UUAAAUUAAUCAAUAAUUAAAAAUAGAAAAAACACUUACUGAAAAUGAAUUAAAUAACAAAAAUGUAAAAAUAAGUCAUUAAAAUAAAUGUACAGAAAAUGAAUUAAAUUGAAUUUGAUAAAUUAAUGAAAAAAUAAAUAAAUAUUAAUUCAUAAAAAAUGUAAAUAAUUGUAAAAAAUCUAAAUAAAAUAAAGUCUAUUACCAAAUCCCAACCCUAAGAGAAAACUUUAUGCAUUUUUACAAUUUAAAAACAAUAUGUAUAUAUUGUGACGUGUGUCCCGAGCGCUCGUCAGCGUCGCCCUGGCAACACAGUGGAAUCACCGGCACUAGCUCGUCACGGGCUGAGCGGCCGCACCUGCAGCUCGUUAAGAGGCGUCUACUUCAGCCGGGAAGGAAAGCAGUAUGGUGAGCAAUGUCUCCCGACACAGACACUAACUCUUUCCACCUCUGUCGUAGAGAGCAGCGUGUGACCGUCAGCCCCAACCAGGAGAGCACCGCACGGGAUCCACCACUCAAGGCACAGAGAGCACGAGGGAGUUGGAGCACUACGGAGAGCACCGCACGGGAUCCACCACUCAAGGCACAGAGAGCACGAGGGAGUUGGAGCACUACGGAGAGCACCGUCUUCACUCAGAGCACAAAGUUGUCAAUAAAUCCACCCUUCGGGGAUUUUCUCUGUCUAUCGGUUGUCGUGUAGUUCCUCACCUCGCCACAAUAUAUAUAUAUGAGGAAAAAUGACUGCGUAUUUUCAGUUGUUUCCACUGUUAAGAAAAAAUGCAAGUGAUCAUGACACAGGCUCAAAGUCAGACUCGUGCCGAGAAUUCUAAUAAACUGUUGGACAUGGGCCGGGCUAGUGCUUGAAAGUCUCAGGCCAGGGCAGGGCUAUGGCUUGAUUUAAGGCCCAUGCAGAGCUCUAAGUUUGACAUCUCAGGUAAGUCCUUCAGGGUGUCCUGGAGGGGCGAGAUGUUUAAGUUGCAACAUCUAGCUACUGGAGUGCCUCAGGGCUCAGUGCUUGGACCACUUCUCUUCUUCUUCUACAUGUCAUCUCUAAGAUCUGUCAUUCAGAAACAUGGCUUUUCCCAUCACUGCUAUGCUAAAAACACACAACCCUUUAAUAGCAGCAAGAUGAUCCAAUGGUAGCUGCUCACAUCUCUGUCUGCCUGACAGACAUUUCUUGCUGGAUGAAGGACCACCACCUUCAACUCAACCAAAGACAACAGAACUGCCACUGCACAACCUCUCCAUUCAGCUAGGUUCAUCAACUAUAACUCCAUCCAAAACAGCCAGGAACCUUGCAGUUGUGAUAUAUAAUAAGUUAAACUUCACAGACCACAUUGCUAGAACUGCCCAGUCCUGCACGUUUUCCUUACACAACAUUAGGAAACACAGGCACUUGUCUAGUCCUAGCUCUUGUUCUAUCCACACAAAACUAUUUGCAAUGGUCUCUUGGCAGGCCUUCCAGUAUGCACUGUCAAGCCUCUGCAACUGAUCCUGAAUUCUACAGCAAGAGUGGACUUAAACAAGCCAAAAAAAGCACACGUCACACCUCUCUUCAUCAAUUAGCACUGGUUGCCAGUAGCUGCUCGCAUCAAAUCAAAGCCAUUUUCAAAAAAUGUCUAAAGACAACUUUUGCGGUGCUAGAAAUGAGACUUGUCAAUACACUUAUACUGUUGCCCCUUUAUUGGUUUGAUUGCUUCUAUUGUUGUCUUUAUUCGUAAUUUGCUUUGGAUAAAAGCAUCUGUUAAACGAUAAAAUAUAAAUGUCAUUUGAGGUGCUUUACUUUAGCUUGAUAUGAAUAAAAACUAUGACGAAAAAUGUUUGUUAAAGAGCUUUUUUCCCAUGACUAAAACAAGAUGAUAAUGAGAUGACAAUGUAAAUUAUGUAAAUGUAAAUUAGAGAUAACUGUGACUAUACCAACAUGAUAUAAGAUGAUGAUAAAAAAACUAAAAUGUAAUUAAAAAAUAAAACUUUACUUAAAGCUUUCUAGACAAAAUAUUAUGACUGCUGUACAUGCCUCUACUACAUGAGGUUUCAUUUUUGUAGUUGCCAGAUAUCAAGAGUUCAAAUCCCCAAAUCAGAGCUUCUUUGUUAAAAGGAUACAGUUUCGUCCCCGGUGUUUACUCAAUCUGUCAAUUUUGCAAUCUGGCAACCACGCAUGUGUACAGAAGCGUCUACAUUGAUCUGAAAACACUGACAAACAAGUAAGCUGGAGUUUAGCGAUCUCUGUGUGAGAUAUUCUGCUUAAAUGAAAGUGUAACUCAGACAGACUGUGUUCUGUCAUGAGCCGUUUGUGCGGGAUGGAUUUCAACUAAAUUGUUUGCAAUUAUGGUUGCUGAAUAAAUGCAGUUGUUUUAAUAGAGAAACAUUAUUGUAAGAAAAAAGCUGGUUCCACAACAAUGUUUAUUUGAAGAUUUAAAUAAAGAUCUGAGUCAAAAAUUCCCAAAUUCCUCACGAGAGUGCAUGUUACUGCACAGUGAGCCACAAAUAUGUAUUUUGGAGAACAGAUUUUGUGAAGUUUUGAAUAUUAUCAGUUUCCAUGUGCAUCACAUUAAAUUGUAAAAAACAUAAAAAAAGCUUUCGUUACUUUUAAGAAAGUGUCUAACUCAAUCUUAUUUCCAUUAAAAAGUUAUUAUUUUGAGCGAUGCUGAGAUGACAAAAAAUCUAAUGUUGACAACAAAUUUCAUGGUUUGCUUUUUACAAAAUAAGUGUAUUUGUUAGAUACUGUUUAAGGCUGAACGAUUAAUCAAAAUCCAACUGGAAUCGUGAUUUGGCUUGAUGCAAAGGCUGCGAUUUUUAAUGAAAUAAAUAUUUGCACAGUGCCAGUAGUAAAUGCUGCUCAUCUCUGCGAGCGCUGUGAGUCUGAGUCGCUUAUAACCUGCAUCUGAUUAAGCAACACACUCCUAACAUCCUCUCAAACUUAAUGAGAAGUGCUUAUAAACCUGUUGUUGAGAACAUUACAACAAGAUUUUACUCCAAAGCAUCAGUCAAGUGUUUUAAAAUUACUUAAUUUUCUGAUCUGACGUGGCUUAUUACAGAAUGAGGCACAAAAUAUAAAAAUGAAGAAAUUACUGUCAAAGAUUUUUAUCAAACAGUAUCAUAUAAAAUACAAGUCACAGGCCUGUAUGUUAACAAGUAACAUUUUCUGUAAAAUAAAAUUAGUAUUGUUAUUACCUUAUUCGUUUAUCUAAUUAUUAUUUUGUUAUUUUUUAAUUUGUUUUAAAAAUCUUGCUAAGUGAGAGAAAUUGAUUAAUUUCCAUAGUUUUUAAUUCAGAAGGAGAUAUUGGGUUUAAUGUUACACAAAUUACUGGCUAUUUAAAUAGCUAAUUUAAUGUGUGACAUCAUUAAUUUAACAGAGAUAAAGAGAUUCAUGACACAGAUUGAGUGAAGAAAGACUUUGAGAAUGAAAACCUGUUUGUUCCUCAGACUCUUCUUGUUUCAGAC
rnacentral:lncRNA from 1 species